UAAAUGAAAGCCAAAAUUGAGGCGCCUAUCUGUUAAUUAGGUUACUGUAAAUUUAUUACUCAUUUAA
rnacentral:tRNA from 1 species